rnacentral:rRNA from 1 species
AUUGAACGCUGGCGGAAUGCUUUACACAUGCAAGUCGAGCGGCAGCACGGGGGCAACCCUGGUGGCGAGCGGCGAACGGGUGAGUAACACAUCGGAACAUGCCCAGUCGUGGGGGAUAACACUUCGAAAGAAGUGCUAAUACCGCAUACGUCCUGAGGGAGAAAGCGGGGGAUCGCAAGACCUCGCGCGAUUGGAGUGGCCGAUGUCAGAUUAGCUAGUUGGUGGGGUAAAGGCCUACCAAGGCAACGAUCAGUAGCUGGUCUGAGAGGAUGAUCAGCCACACUGGGACUGAGACACGGCCCAGACUCCUACGGGAGGCAGCAGUGGGGAAUUUUGGACAAUGGGGGCAACCCUGAUCCAGCCAUUCCGCGUGAGUGAAGAAGGCCUUCGGGUUGUAAAGCUCUUUCGGCAGGAACGAAACGGUGAGCUCUAACAUAGCUUGCUAAUGACGGUACCUGAAGAAGAAGCACCGGCUAACUACGUG